rnacentral:lncRNA from 1 species
UUUUUUCUCUCUCUAAACACCUAACUAGUGAGAGAAAGUAUGAAAGUGAGAUUUUUCAAGGGUUUUGAAGUAAAAGAGUGAAAAAGCACAAGGGUUCCAUGAAAAGGUGCACAAAGGCAUGAAAAUUGGAGCUAGAGAGAGAAAGUUAUGAAGUUUUCAUAUCAUGCUUCCAUGGAGGGGGAAACAAACGUGAGAUGAAAGGAGAAAGAAGAAGAAG